CGGGCUGGCCGGGCGAUCGCGUUGACGUAAGUCACCGAGGAAAGUCCGGGCUCCGCACAGCAGGGUGGUGGGUAACGCCCACUCGGGGUGACCCGCAGGCCAGUGCCACAGAGAACAGACCGCCCCGUGCGUGCACGGGGUAAGGGUGAAACGGUGGUGUAAGAGACCACCAGCUCCCCGGGUGACCGGGGAGGCUAGGUAAACCCCACCUGGAGCAAGGCCAGACAGGAUGUGUUCGAGGGCUGCUCGCCCGAGCAUCCGGGUAGGCCGCUUGAGGCCACUGGCAACAGUGGUCCUAGAUGGAUGAUCGCCACUCCGCGCCGGGCAACGGGCGCGGAUGACAGAACCCGGCUCACAGGCCAGCCCGUCCC
rnacentral:RNase_P_RNA from 1 species